GAUGAACGCUGGCGGCGUGCCUAAUACAUGCAAGUCGAGCGAACAGACGAGGAGCUUGCUCCUCUGACGUUAGCGGCGGACGGGUGAGUAACACGUGGAUAACCUACCUAUAAGACUGGGAUAACUUCGGGAAACCGGAGCUAAUACCGGAUAAUAUAUUGAACCGCAUGGUUCAAUAGUGAAAGACGGUUUUGCUGUCACUUAUAGAUGGAUCCGCGCCGCAUUAGCUAGUUGGUAAGGUAACGGCUUACCAAGGCAACGAUGCGUAGCCGACCUGAGAGGGUGAUCGGCCACACUGGAACUGAGACACGGUCCAGACUCCUACGGGAGGCAGCAGUAGGGAAUCUUCCGCAAUGGGCGAAAGCCUGACGGAGCAACGCCGCGUGAGUGAUGAAGGUCUUCGGAUCGUAAAGCGCUGUUAUUAGGGAAGAACAAAUGUGUAAGUAACUAUGCACGUCUUGACGGUACCUAAUCAGAAAGCCACGGCUAACUACGUG
rnacentral:rRNA from 1 species